UAAUACGUAGGGUGCGAGCGUUAAUCGGAAUUACUGGGCGUAAAGGGUGCGCAGGCGGUUCUGUAAGUCAGAUGUGAAAUCCCCGGGCUUAACCUGGGAACUGCGUUUGAAACUACAGAGCUAGAGUGUGGCAGAGGGGGGUGGAAUUCCAUGUGUAGCAGUGAAAUGCGUAGAGAUAUGGAAGAACAUCGAUGGCGAAGGCAGCCCCCUGGGUCAACACUGACGCUCAUGCACGAAAGCGUGGGGAGCAAACAGGAUUAGAUACCCUGGUAGUCCACGCCCUAAACUAUGUCAACUAGUUGUCGGGCCUUAUUAGGUUUGGUAACGUAGCUAACGCGUGAAGUUGACCGCCUGGGGAGUACGGUCGCAAGAUUAAAACUCAAAGGAAUUGACGG
rnacentral:rRNA from 1 species